rnacentral:rRNA from 1 species
ACGGCUCAGUAACACGUGGACAACCUACCCAAGAGUCUGGGAUAACCCCUGGGAAACUGGGGAUAAUACCGGAUAGAUCAAGCCUACUGGAAUUGUGGUUUGGUUGAAACCUCCGGGGCUUUUGGAUGGGUCUGCGGCUGAUUAGGUUGUUGCCGGUGUAACGUACCGGCAAGCCAGUAAUCAGUACGGGUUGUGGGAGCAAGAGCCCGGAGAUGGAUUCUGAGACACGAAUCCAGGCCCUACGGGGCGCAGCAGGCGCGAAAACUUUACAAUGCAGGCAACUGCGAUAAGGGAACAUCGAGUGGCGUUCAUAAUGGAUGUCUGUCCACCCGUCUAAAAAACGGGUGUUAGCAAGGGCCGGGCAAGACCGGUGCCAGCCGCCGCGGUAAUACCGGCGGCUCGAGUGGUGGCCGAUAUUAUUGAGUCUAAAGGGUCCGUAGCCGGCUUUGCAAGUCCUGUGGGAAAUCCAGCGGCUUAACCGUUGGGCGUCCGCGGGGUACUACAUUGCUUGGGACUGGGAGAGGUAGGAGGUACUCAGGGGGUAGGAGUGAAAUCCUGUAAUCCUUUGGGGACCACCGGUGGCGAAGGCGUCCUACCAGAACAGGUCCGACGGUGAGGGACGAAAGCUAGGGGCACGAACCGGAUUAGAUACCCGGGUAGUCCUAGCCGUAAACGAUGCUCGCUAGGUGUCACAGCAGUCGUGAAUUGCUGUGGUGCCGUAGGGAAGCCGUGAAGCGAGCCACUUGGGAAGUACGACCGCAAGGUUGAAACUUAAAGGAAUUGGCGGGGGAGCAC